GGCAAUUCUAGAGCUAAUACAUGCACCAAAGCUCCGACUCUACGGACGAGCGCAUCUAUUAGAAUAAAACCAAUCGAGGCGUAAUCGCUACGUCUCGUCCAUUUGGUGACUCUGAAUAGCUUAGCUGAUCGCAUGGUCUUGCACCGGCGACGUAUCUAUCAAGUAUCUGCCUUAUCAACUUUCGAUGGUAGUUUAUAUGACUACCAUGGUUGUAACGGGUAACGGAGAAUAAGGGUUCGACUCCGGAGAGGGAGCCUGAGAAACGGCUACCACUUCCAAGGAAGGCAGCAGGCGCGCAAAUUACCCACUCUCAGCUCAGAGGAGGUAGUGACGAAAAAUAACGAGACCGUACUCGAUGAGGCCGGUUAUCGGAAUGGGUACAAUUUAAACCCGUUAACGAGGAUCUAUGAGAGGGCAAGUCUGGUGCCAGCAGCCGCGGUAAUUCCAGCUCUCAAAGUGUAUAUCGGCAUUGCUGCGGUUAAAAAGCUCGUAGUUGGAUUUCAGCCUUACGACGUGGUCCAUUCAUUGAAUGCGAACUACGCCUCGUAGGCUAUAUUGAUGUUGGUUUUUCCUUACGUUGCUCUAAACGGCUGCGUAAGGUGGCUAACGAGUUUACCUUGAAAAAAUUAGAGUGCUCAACGCGGGCUAACGCCUGAAUACUCGUGCAUGGAAUAAUGGAAUAGGAUCUCGGUUCUAUUUUGUUGGUUUUCUGAUCUGAGAUAAUGGUUAAGAGGGACAGACGGGGGCAUUCGUAUCGCUGCGUGAGAGGUGAAAUUCUUGGACCGUAGCGAGACGUCCCACUGCGAAAGCAUUUGCCAAGAAUGUCUUCAUUAAUCAAGAACGAAAGUCAGAGGUUCGAAGGCGAUCAGAUACCGCCCUAGUUCUGACCGUAAACGAUACCAACUAGCGUUCCGUCAGCAGUAAAUACGCCUUGACGGGCAGCUUUCCGGAAACGAAAGUUUUUCGGUUCCGGGGGAAGUAUGGUUGCAAAGCUGAAACUUAAAGAAAUUGACGGAAGGGCACCACCAGGAGUGGAGCCUGCGGCUUAAUUUGACUCAACACGGGAAAACUCACCUGGCCCGGACACCGUGAGGAUUGACAGAUUGAGAGCUCUUUCUUGAUUCGGUGGUUGGUGGUGCAUGGCCGUUCUUAGUUGGUGGAGUGAUUUGUCUGGUUUAUUCCGAUAACGAACGAGACUCUAGCCUACUAAAUAGUCGGCGAAUAAUUUUUGAACGUUCGUACGACUUCUUAGAGGGACAAGCGGUGUUCAGCCGCAUGAAGUUGAGCAAUAACAGGUCUGUGAUGCCCUUAGACGUCCAGGGCUGCACGCGCGCUACACUGGAGGAAUCAACGUGCUGUAUCCGUUGUCGAAAGGCAAUGGCAACCCAUUGAAAAUCCUCCGUGCUCGGAAUCGGGAAUUGCAAUUAUUUCCCUUGAACGAGGAAUUCCUAGUAAGUGUGAGUCAUCAGCUCACGCUGAUUACGUCCCUGCCCUUUGUACACACCGCCCGUCGCUGCCCGGGACUGAGCCGUUUCGAGAAAAGCGGGGACCGCUGAUAUCGGGCUACAUUGU
rnacentral:rRNA from 3 species